UGAGAGGCAGUCAGAGCCCCACAGACCCAGCCUGUAGGAGGCAGACUGGACGUGUGCUGGAGGACGCACGGUUCUCCCUAAACUGUUUCCUGUGUUUCUAGUGCACUUCCCAGGCAUCAAGUUUACUGUCCACGCUCUAGGAAAUGAAUCUGACCAUACCCGCUUUCAAAACGUUCCCUGACCGGCAAUGGCAGACGAGAGACUGCUGGUGAGUCCCUGCCGUUCAGGAUGGACUGCAUCCUGGAUUAAUUCCUCACUUCUCACCACCGGGAGCUGCUAAACUUGUCGCUGCUGGUUUGCAAACAACACUGGUCUAAUUCAUUUACCGCAGCAGUAACACUUGGAGCUCUGAGACAGGUAAACCGACACAAGGUGGAGCUGCCUGAGCCCCCAUGGACCAUGCUUCGAAUGCAGCAGAAGGACAUUGGGCAAGAGAGUGCCUCAUCCUGGUGUUCCUUUGAGACCUUACCCCAGGGCUACUGGACUGUCCUAGCCACCAGAGAGUGGGUAAGCCAUCCUAACUUCUAGCCCUCACAGGAAAUGCCAACACUGCCAGAUUCAUCGCUGACAGAUCUGCUUAAACUUGCUGCUGAAGACUGACGGGGCUCAGGGCCAACAACAGCCCCCUUUAAGGUAUCCUUCUCAGAGUCCUAAGGCCCACUAGGAGUCUCAGUCCAACAUGUGGGCAUUCACCAGUGAUAAAGUUGUCCUGGUUAAAACACCUGGCACCAGCUUCUACAUGGGCAUCAACUAUCAUCCCAUCAACCCUCCUAAACCUCAGGACAGCACCCCCUUCCAGCAGGAAGCAGAAGAAAGAAAAACCCUGCCCUUUUUCCUAAUAAUCAAAAAAUGGGAAUGAAAGGAUUUUGCCGAAGGAGGCUGGGAGGCGGAACCAAGGGGCUCUAUCUUGAGGUCACCUUCCUUGCCCCUAGGCAAUUUACCUGUGGCACGAAAUGAAUACCAAUGGGCUACCUGUGCAUCACUAAUGCCCCUUAGGCACCACCCCAAACCUAAGCUACAUGUAUGCCCCACACCACAUGUCUGGUGGACAGAAUGCCAGACUCCGGAGGGUCAUGGAGUCUCUCUCCACAUUCUUAAAAUAAAGGCCAUUUUUAUUUCA